ACUCUGAUGCAGCGAUGCCGCGUGAGUGAAGAAGGCCUUUGGGUUGUAAAGCUCUUUCGUCGGGGAAGAAAAUGACUGUACCCGAAUAAGAAGGUCCGGCUAACUUCGUGCCAGCAGCCGCGGUAAUACGAAGGGACCUAGCGUAGUUCGGAAUUACUGGGCUUAAAGAGUUCGUAGGUUGUUGAAAAAGUUGGUGGUGAAAUCCCAGAGCUUAACUCUGGAACUGCCAUCAAAACUUUUCAGCUAGAGUUUGAUAGAGGAAAGCAGAAUUUCUAGUGUAGAGGUGAAAUUCGUAGAUAUUAGAAAGAAUACCAAUUGCGAAGGCAGCUUUCUGGAUCAUUACUGACACUGAGGAACGAAAGCAUGGGUAGCGAAGAGGAUUAGAUACCCUCGUAGUCCAUGCCGUAAACGAUGUGUGUUAGACGUUGGAAAUUUAUUUUCAGUGUCGCAGCGAAAGCGAUAAACACACCGCCUGGGGAGUACGACCGCAAGGUUAAAACUCAAAUGAAUUGACGGGGACCCGCACAAGUAGUGGAGCAUGUGGUUUAAUUCGAAGAUACGCGCAGAACCUUACCAACACUUGACAUGUUCGUCGCGACUCUAAGAGAUUAGAGUUUUCGGUUCGGCCGGACGAAACACAGGUGCUGCAUGGCUGUCGUCAGCUCGUGUCGUGAGAUGUUGGGUUAAGUCCCGCAACGAGCGCAACCCUCACUUUUAGUUGCCAUCAUUUAGUUGGGCACUCUGAAAGAACUGCCAGUGAUAAGCUGGAGGAAGGUGGGGAUGACGUCAAGUCCUCAUGGCCCUUACGUGUUGGGCUACACACGUGCUACAAUGGUAUCUACAACAGGAAGCAAGACGGCGACGUUAAGCAAAUCCUA
rnacentral:rRNA from 1 species